UACGGGGGGAGCAAGCGUUGUUCGGAUUUACUGGGCGUAAAGGGCGCGUAGGCGGUCAGCACAAGUCAGUUGUGAAAUCUCCGGGCUUAACUCGGAAAGGUCAACUGAUACUGUGCGACUAGAGUGCGGAAGGGGCAACUGGAAUUCUCGGUGUAGCGGUGAAAUGCGUAGAUAUCGAGAGGAACACCUGCGGCGAAGGCGGAUCUCUGGGCCGAUACUGACGCUGAGGAGCGAAAGCGUGGGGAGCGAACAGG
rnacentral:rRNA from 1 species